CGAACGGGUGAGUAAUGCGUGACCAACCUGCCCCAUGCUCAAGAAUAGCUCUUGGAAACGGGUGGUAAUGCUGGAUGCUCCAACUUGACGCAUGUCUUGUUGGGAAAGUGUUUAGUGGCAUGGGAUGGGGUCGCGUCCUAUCAGCUUGUAGGCGGGGUAAUGGCCCACCUAGGCUUCGACGGGUAGCCGGCCUGAGAGGGCGGACGGCCACAUUGGGACUGAGAUACGGCCCAGACUCCUACGGGAGGCAGCAGGU
rnacentral:rRNA from 1 species